CUCGCAAGACCUCGCGCGGUUGGACGAACCGAUGUUCGAUUAGCUAGUUGGUAGGGUAAUGGCCUACCAAGGCGACGAUCGAUAGCUGGUCUGAGAGGAUGAUCAGCCACACUGGGACUGAGACACGGCCCAGACUCCUACGGGAGGCAGCAGUGGGGAAUAUUGGACAAUGGGCGCAAGCCUGAUCCAGCAAUGCCGCGUGUGUGAAGAAGGCCUUCGGGUUGUAAAGCACUUUUAUCAGGAGCGAAAUGCCAUGGGUUAAUACCUCGUGGAGCUGACGGUACCUGAGGAAUAAGCACCGGCUAACUUCGUGCCAGCAGCCGCGGUAAUACGAAGGGUGCAAGCGUUAAUCGGAAUUACUGGGCGUAAAGGGUGCGUAGGCGGUUCGUUAAGUCUGUCGUGAAAUCCCCGGGCUCAACCUGGGAAUGGCGAUGGAUACUGGCGAGCUAGAGUGUGUCAGAGGAUGGUGGAAUUCCCGGUGUAGCGGUGAAAUGCGUAGAGAUCGGGAGGAACAUCAGUGGCGAAGGCGGCCAUCU
rnacentral:rRNA from 1 species